rnacentral:snoRNA from 1 species
AAGACCGUACUUACACAGGAUCAUUUCUAUAGUACCUUCUUUUCUACUUGACUUCCUAAACCUACCCCGAGACGCCGAUGCUGUCGUUGAGCGCGUCUCCGUCCACCCGUUCGCGUUGCGCGAGCGCGGAAGAUGGAGACGAGUUCUACGACGC